rnacentral:rRNA from 1 species
CCUACGGGAGGCAGCAGUGAGGAAUAUUGGUCAAUGGGCGGAAGCCUGAACCAGCCAAGUAGCGUGCGGGAUGAAGGCCCUACGGGUCGUAAACCGCUUUUGCACGGGGAUAACACCCUCCACUUGUGGAGGUCUGCAGGUACCGUGCGAAUAAGGGCCGGCUAAUUCCGUGCCAGCAGCCGCGGUAAUACGGAAGGCCCGAGCGUUAUCCGGAUUCAUUGGGCGUAAAGGGUGCGUAGGUGGUUUGGCAAGUUAGUAGCGUAACUCCAAGGCUCAACCUUGGAACUACUACUAAAACUGUUGGACUUGAGUGCAGGAGGGGCAACCGGAAUUCCUAGUGUAGCGGUGGAAUGCGUAGAUAUUAGGAGGAACACCAGUGGCGAAGGCGGGUUGCUAGACUGUAACUGACACUGAGGCACGAAAGCGUGGGGAGCAAACAGGAUUAGAUACCCCAGUAGUC